CUACGGGGCGCAGCAGUGGGGAAUAUUGCACAAUGGGCGAAAGCCUGAUGCAGCAACGCCGCGUGAGCGAUGAAGGCCUUCGGGUCGUAAAGCUCUGUCCUAAAGGAAGAAUUUUUGACGGUACUUUAGGAGGAAGCCCCGGCUAAUUACGUGCCAGCAGCCGCGGUAAUACGUAAGGGGCUAGCGUUAUCCGGAAUUACUGGGCGUAAAGGGUACGUAGGCGGUUUAUUAAGUCAGGGGUGAAAGGCUACGGCUCAACCGUAGUAAGCCUUUGAAACUGAUAAACUCGAGUAUGGUAGAGGAAAGUGGAAUUCCUGGUGUAGCGGUGAAAUGCGUAGAUAUCAGGAGGAACAUCGAUGGCGAAGGCAGCUUUCUGGGCCAUUACUGACGCUGAGGUACGAAAGCGUGGGGAGCGAACAGGAUUAGAUACCCUGGUAGUC
rnacentral:rRNA from 1 species